ensembl:lncRNA
GGCAGGUAGCCUAGUGGUUAGAGUGUAGGGGUGGCAGGUAGCCUAGUGGUUAGAGUGUAGGGGCGGCAGGUAGCCUAGUGGUUAGAGUGUAGGGGUGGCAGGUAGCCUAGUGGUUAGAGUGUAGGGGUGGCAGGUAGUCUAGUGGGUAGAGUGUAGGGGUGGCAGGUAGCCUAGUGGUUAGAGUGUACAGGUGGCAGGUAGUCUAGUGGGUAGAGUGUAGAGGUGGCAGGUAGCCUAGUGGUUAGAGUGUAGGGGUGGCAGG